rnacentral:rRNA from 1 species
GACGAACGCUGGCGGCGUGCUUAACACAUGCAAGUCGAACGGUGAAGCGCCUUCCUUUUUGGUGGGUGUGGAUGAGUGGCGAACGGGUGAGUAACACGUGAGUAACCUGCCCCCUUCUUCUGGAUAACCGCAUGAAAGUGUGGCUAAUACGGGAUAUUCUGGGUCUGUCGCAUGAUGGGUCUGGGACAGAUAUUGUUUCGGUGGGGGAUGGGCUCGCGGCCUAUCAGCUUGUUGGUGGGGUGAUGGCCUACCAAGGCGGUGACGGGUAGCCGGCCUGAGAGGGUGGACGGUCACACUGGGACUGAGACACGGCCAAGACUCCUAAGGGAGGCAGCAGUGGGGAAUAUUGCACAAUGGGCGCAAGCCUGAUGCAGCGACGCCGAGUGAGGGAUGGAGGCCUGCGGGUUGUGAAACUCUUUCGCCAGUGAAGCAGGCCUGCCUCGUUUGUGGGUGGGUUGACGGUAGCUGGAUAAGAAGCGCCGGCUAACUACGUG